rnacentral:rRNA from 1 species
AGCGAACGCUGGCGGCAGGCCUAACACAUGCAAGUCGAACGAACUCUUCGGAGUUAGUGGCGGACGGGUGAGUAACACGUGGGAACGUGCCUUUUGGUUCGGAAUAACUCAGGGAAACUUGUGCUAAUACCGAAUGUGCCCUUCGGGGGAAAGAUUUAUCGCCAUUAGAGCGGCCCGCGUCUGAUUAGCUAGUUGGUUAGGUAACUGCUCACCAAGGCGACGAUCAGUAACUGGUCUGGGAGGAUGACCAGCCACACUGGGACUGAGACACGGCCCAGACUCCUACGGGAGGAAGAAGUGGGGAAUCUUGCGAAAUGGGCGAAAGCCUGACGCAGCCAGGCCGCGUGAAUGAUGAAGGUCUUAGGAUUGUAAAAUUCUUUCACCGGGGACGAUAAUGACGGUACCCGGAGAAGAAGCCCCGGCUAACUUCGUG